AGAGCAGUGGCCACUAACCCUCACACUGCAGAGCUUUCUGAUCUGGCCCAGGCGGUGGUAAGAGUAGAGAUGUUGAAGCAUCAGGAAGACUGGACUGGUUUGGCACAAGUGUUCUGUGGUGUUUGUGUUGGUACACACAUUCCUACUGAACUUACCAGGUUCUGCUCCUGUGUUACAAUGGCACUGUUGAAAGAACCUAAGGACAAACUCACCCUCCCAUAUGAGUUAUUUGCUGAAUCAGUAUGUCAGCAAGUCUCAUUCGAUGACAUGAUGAAAACCAUUCUG